rnacentral:rRNA from 1 species
UACGUAGGGUGCGAGCGUUAAUCGGAAUUACUGGGCGUAAAGCGUGCGCAGGCGGUUUUGUAAGCCAGGUGUGAAAUCCCCGGGCUCAACCUGGGAAUGGCAUUUGGGACUGCAAGGCUGGAGUGCGGCAGAGGAGACUGGAAUUCCUGGUGUAGCAGUGAAAUGCGUAGAUAUCAGGAGGAACACCGAUGGCGAAGGCGGCCAUCUGGACUCGGUACUGA